rnacentral:rRNA from 1 species
UGGGAAUUUGGACAAUGGGCGAAGCCUGAUCCAGCAAUGCCGCGUGUGUGAAGAAGGCCUUCGGGUUGUAAAGCACUUUUGUCCGGAAAGAAAUCCUUGGCUCUAAUACAGUCGGGGGAUGACGGUACCGGAAGAAUAAGCACCGGCUAACUACGUGCCAGCAGCCGCGGUAAUACGUAGGGUGCAAGCGUUAAUCGGAAUUACUGGGCGUAAAGCGUGCGCAGGCGGUUUGCUAAGACCGAUGUGAAAUCCCCGGGCUCAACCUGGGAACUGCAUUGGUGACUGGCAGGCUAGAGUAUGGCAGAGGGGGGUAGAAUUCCACGUGUAGCAGUGAAAUGCGUAGAGAUGUGGAGGAAUACCGAUGGCGAAGGCAGCCCCCUGGGCAAUACUGACGCUCAUGCACGAAAGCGUGGGGAGCAAACAGGAUUAGAUACCCUGGUAGUCCACGCCCUAAACGAUGUCAACUAGUUGUUGGGGAUUCAUUUCCUUAGUAACGUAGCUAACGCGUGAAGUUGACCGCCUGGGGAGUACGGUCGCAAGAUUAAAACUUAAAUGAAUUGACGGGGUCAUAGCUG